rnacentral:rRNA from 1 species
CAGCCGCCGCGGUAAUGCGAAGGGUGCAAGCGUUAAUCGGAAUUACUGGGCGUAAAGCGUGCGCAGGCGGUUUGUUAAGACAGAUGUGAAAUCCCCGGGCUCAACCUGGGAACUGCAUUUGUGACUGGCAAGCUAGAGUGUGGCAGAGGGGGGUGGAAUUCCGCGUGUAGCAGUGAAACGCGUAGAUAUGCGGAGGAACACCGAUGGCGAAGGCAGCCCCCUGGGCCAACACUGACGCUCAUGCACGAAAGCGUGGGGAGCAAACAGGAUUAGAUACCCGUGUAGUCCCUGUCUCUUAUAC